UAUUUACACAAAAAUUUUGAAAAAAGUCGGAGGCAGUCACUGCUUGUGGAGUUUGGUGUGAUAUUACCAGGAGCUGGUUUCAGCUCCAGUACAAAUAUAAGGAGUUUGAGCAAUAAUUGAACAGACCAUGUCAGAGUUUGAGGUGGAGACACCUAUAUCCAGCACCAGAGAUCAAGAAUCAGAUCGGGAAGAAGAAUCUAUUGAAAAGAAGUUGACCUUUGAAAUUCCUGACCCUGAGGGAGAAGGUCAUCAGCACAAAGUAACAGUAAAGAAAAAAAGGAUAUGACGUACUGGCAAUCGCAUCAUCUCACUCAGGGUCUUUCCGCCAGAGUUCGGAAAAACAACCUUGAAUGUAUUAACAUCACCUGAUGUUAAAG